rnacentral:rRNA from 1 species
AACGAACGCUGGCGGCAUGCCUAACACAUGCAAGUCGAACGAGACCUUCGGGUCUAGUGGCGCACGGGUGCGUAACGCGUGGGAACCUGCCCUUAGGUUCGGAAUAACUCCCCGAAAGGGGUGCUAAUACCGGAUAAUGUCUUCGGACCAAAGAUUUAUCGCCUUUGGUUGGGCCCGCGUUGGAUUAGCUAGUUGGUAGGGUAAAAGCCUACCAAGGGGACGAUCCAUAGCUGGUCUGGGAGGCUGAUCAGCCACACUGGGACUGAGACACGGCCCAGACUCCUACGGGAGGCAGCAGUGGGGAAUAUUGGACAAUGGGCGAAAGCCUGAUCCAGCAAUGCCGCGUGAGUGAUGAAGGCCUUAGGGUUGUAAAGCUCUUUUACCCGGGAUGAUAAUGACAGUACCGGGAGAAUAAGCUCCGGCUAACUCCGUG